UUAUCGUUUAUUUGAUAGUACCUUUCCUACUUGGAUAACCGUGGUAAUUCUAGAGCUAAUACAUGCUAAAAAUCCCGACUUCGGAAGGGAUGUAUUUAUUAGAUACAGAACCAAUGCCCUCCGGGGCUCUCUGGUGAAUCAUGAUAACUCCGCGGAUCGCACGGCCUUGCGCCGGCGAUGGUUCAUUCAAAUUUCUGCCCUAUCAACUUUCGACGGCUGGGUAUUGGCCAGCCGUGGUGACAACGGGUAACGGAGGGUUAGGGCUCGACCCCGGAGAAGGAGCCUGAGAGACGGCUACUACAUCCAAGGAAGGCAGCAGGCGCGCAAAUUACCCAAUCCCGACUCGGGGAGGUAGUGACGAUAAAUACUGAUCCAGGGCUCUUUUGGGUCUUGGAAUUGGAAUGAGUACAAUUUAAAUCCCUUAACGAGGAACAAUUGGAGGGCAAGUCUGGUGCCAGCAGCCGCGGUAAUUCCAGCUCCAAUAGCGUAUAUUAAAGUUGUUGAGGUUAAAAAGCUCGUAGUUGAACCUUGGGCCUGGCUGGCCGGUCCGCCUCACCGCGUGCACUGGUCCGGCCGGGCCUUUCCCUCUGGGGAACCGCAUGCCCUUCGCUGGGCGUGUCGGGGAACCAGGACUUUUACUCUGAACAAAUCAGAUCGCUCAAAGAAGGCUCUCGCUCGAAUGCAUUAGCAUGGAAUAAUGGAAUAGGACGUGUGGUUCUAUUUUGUUGGUUUCUAGGACCGCCGUAAUGAUUAAUAGGGACAGUCGGGGGCAUCAGUAUUCAAUUGUCAGAGGUGAAAUUCUUGGAUCUAUUGAAGACUAACUACUGCGAAAGCAUUUGCCAAGGAUGUUUU
rnacentral:rRNA from 1 species